AUUGAACGCUGGCGGCAGGCCUAACACAUGCAAGUCGAACGAGUGGCGGACGGGUGAGUAAUGUCUGGGAAACUGCCCGAUGGAGGGGGGUAACUACUGGAAACGGUAGCUAAUACCGCAUACCAUCGGAUGUGCCCAGAUGGGAUUAGCUAGUAGGUGGGGUAACGGCUCACCUAGGGGGCGAUCCCUAGCGGGUCUGAGAGGAUGAACAGCAAAACUGGAACGGAGACAAGGUCCAGACUCUGACGGGAGGCAGCAGUGGGGAAUAUUGGACAAUGGGCGCAAGCCGGAUGCAGCCAGGCCGCGUGUAUGAGGAAGGCCUUCGGGUGGUAAAGUAUUUUCAGCGAGGAGGCGUUACUCGCAGAAGAAGCACCGGCUAACUCCGUGCCAGCAGCCGCGGUAAUUC
rnacentral:rRNA from 1 species